CUCAUCUCCCUGGGUAACCCUAGGUCUCAUCUCAUCUCCCUGGGUAACCCUAGGUCUCACCUCAUCUCCCUGGGUAACCCUAGGUCUCAUCUCAUCUCCCUGGGUAACCCUAGGUCUCAUCUCAUCUCCCUGGGUAACCCUAGGUCUCAUCUCACCUCCCUGGGUAACCCUAGGUCUCAUCUCAUCUCCCUGGGUAACCCUAGGUCUCAUCUCAUCUCCCUGGGUAACCCUAGGUCUCAUCUCAUCUCCCUGGGUAACCCUAGGUCUCAUCUCGUCUCCCUGGCUAACCCUAGGUCUCAUCUCACCUCCCUGGGUAACCCUAGGUCUCAUCUCAUCUCCCUGGGUAACCCUAGGUCUCAUCUCAUCUCCCUGGGUAACCCUAGGUCUCAUCUCAUCUCCCUGGGUAACCCUAGGUCUCAUCUCACCUCCCUGGGUAACCCUAUGUCUCAUCUCAUCUCCCUGGGUAACCCUAGGUCUCAUCUCAUCUCCCUGGAUAACCCUAGGUCUCAUCUCAUCUCCCUGGGUAACCCUAAAUCUCAUCUCCCUGGGUAACCCUAGGUCUCAUCUCAUCGCCCUGGGUAACCCUAGGUCUCAUCUCAUCUCCCUGGGUAACCCUAGGUCUCAUCUCAUCUCAUCUCCCUGGGUAACCCUAGGUCUCAUCUCCCUGGGUAACCCUAGGUCUCAUCUCCCUGGGUAACCCUAGUAACCCUAGUAAGCCUAGUAACCCUAGGUCUAAUUCCCAUUAUAGUGCACUACUUUUGACUAGGGCCCGUAGUGCUUGGUCAAAAGUAGUGCACUAUCAAGGGUAUGCAGUAGGGUGCCAUUGGGGAUACAGCCCUGGAGUAUUUAUUAUAGUGUUGAAAGCUUUAUCUACUCUGACUCUCCAGAGAAGAAUGUCACAGAAAUGACGUCAGAUUGAUGUUAGACUGACCCAUGCGGUCGGACUCUCUCAAGGAGUGCUGUUGCUAUGCUCCAAGUGAAACGCCAUCAACAGAAUACCUUCCCAAGGUUAUUGCUAUAGCGUAGUGUUUGUUUAAGACACAGUUAACCUUUAUGGAAACCCGAGACUGAGCCAUGUAAAACUAAACACCCAACACUGAUAAAAAAUGCCAAUGGCUAUGUUAUCAAAAAUGACAUCAUAGGAUUCCAACAGAGAAUCUUCAUAGGAUUCCAACAGAGAAUCUUCAUAGGAUUCCAACAGAGAAUCUUCAUAGGAUUCCAACAGAGAAUCUUCAUAGGAUUCCAACAGAGAAUCUUCAUAGGAUUCCAACAGAGAAUCUUCAUGAUUCGAGAACUGCUGUGCAAAAAGCUUUAGCACACAGCGAGAGUUAAUCUAUGGUUAGCCAGUAAUGCCUACCUUAGCAGUCUUGAGACCUGUGGGUCAAACUCUGGGUUUGGUUAAUAAGUAAGACCGUGUAGGCAUCACACUUUUAAAAUGGACUCUGGGGGUUUCUUUUAAACAGAAGAUGGCUUCUUUUCCGAUACUGUUAUCUACACAAGACAAUACUCAUCCACUGCUGACUUGGCCUAUAGAUAUUUUACAAAUGGUGCAUCUCAGUCACUAUGAGAACAUUGCUGAAAUGGGGGGGGGGAACUGAAUACUUUUACAGAAUUAUUAGUGAAUUAUAACUUUGUCAAGGAACUGUGGGUUAUAUAUGAAUAAAUUAUUAUAUGUUAAAUAAUUGUUAUAUAUUUAAUCAUUAUUAUAUAUUAAAGUUAAACAAAAGCAUAUUCUUAAAGAUUGUAUCAUAUUAAAGCAAAUACCCUCCGACUCUGGUUUUGGUUCAUAUUGAUGAACUUUUUGAGAUAGCAGGCAACAAAUGUAACUCACAGCUGUUACAUUAGGGCACAAAUAACACUGUAACAAAUAAUCAGGGCAACUUCAGUGAUUGUCAUCAUAAAAAAAUACUUUUGUGUAAGGCUAUAUCAUCACUUUUAGACAACAAUGGAUAAUUAAUAGAAAAACAAGAGAUUAUUCUGGUAUAUUGGACAGUGAAAUAACAUGAUCAUCCAUUUGACCUGCCUUGUGUUACAGCAUAGUUUGGUCUAGGCUCUGUUACAUUUAUUUAGAUAGAAAGUUUACGUGUAAUACAUUACAUUUUACAUAGUCGGACAAAUAAAAACGUAUUUAAAAUAAAACAAAAAAAACCUCACCGCUUUAGGCAUCUUUGUUUUGGAUGGUUUAUCAGGUUUAACGACGGAACGUGGGCUCCAAAGUACCGGAAAGAGCUCGUAGUAGUUAAACUUCUCUAGGGAACUCUCAAGUCCGUGAUAAUGAACGUUAGUCCUGCUCUGCUCGGGUUGGGCGCCUGUCCUGUGAACUCGGCUGUGAAGAUUACUUAUACUGGACGUGGUAGGCUACUCAUGUCUGACUCAUAAUCAGACAUAAAAAUGCCAGAGCAGAGGAGAAGCCUAACCUUGUUCGAUGACGCCGACGACCUACCUGUGAGACGGAGUGUCGUUAAAAGCUCCACCCUACAGAACAGAACGGGCUGCUGUUGACUACUACUGUAGUGCCAUCCCGACUGUUUCAGUUACAGCCUUGAAGUUAUGACUAGUGUCUAUGGGGACCUUUGGUCGUUCAGACGACAACUACGGCCUUGAAGUUAUGACUAGUGUCUAUGGGGACCUUUGGUCGUUCAGACGACAACUACAGCCUUGAAGUUAUGACUAGUGAUAUAUUUAUACUUUUUGAGGGUCAGAAAAAAAUAC
rnacentral:lncRNA from 1 species